UACGUAGGGUGCAAGCGUUGUCCGGAAUUAUUGGGCGUAAAGAGCUCGUAGGCGGUUUGUCGCGUCGGCUGUGAAAACUCGGGGCUCAACCCCGAGCCUGCAGUCGAUACGGGCAGACUAGAGUGCGGUAGGGGAGACUGGAAUUCCUGGUGUAGCGGUGAAAUGCGCAGAUAUCAGGAGGAACACCGGUGGCGAAGGCGGGUCUCUGGGCAGUAACUGACGCUGAGGAGCGAAAGCGUGGGGAGCGAACAGG
rnacentral:rRNA from 1 species